UGUCUCUCUAGCCCCACUCAUCCUCCACUUUAUUAAUUUAUUUUGUCUUUCCUUCCUACCCACAGGAACACCGGAUCUCAGGUGGAGGAGAAAAAAGCCAAGGGCACAGAGGAAUCACUGAAAAGAACACAGACUCUGGCCCUUCAGUAGCAUCUGAUUUUCUUUCUGCCAGGUGGAAGCUAAAGAAAGUUGACCUGAACAUAACGUCAUGACUACUAGUGAGCAGAAAGAGUACAUGUGGCAUCGGGGAAGUGAAUAAAGGGAGGUGUUUGUUCUGUGUACAUUGCAUGCAGGUGCUGAAAUAGUACACCAAACCCAUUAAUAUGUACAAUUAGUACAUGUUAAUCAAAAAUAAAAUAAAAUGAUUUUUCC
rnacentral:lncRNA from 1 species